UACGUAGGUGGCAAGCGUUGUCCGGAUUUACUGGGCGUAAAGAGCGUGUAGGCGGCCAGGUAGGUCUGGUGUGAAAACUCGAGGCUUAACCUCGAGAUGUCAUCGGAAACCAUCUGGCUAGAGUCCGGAAGAGGAGAGUGGAAUUCCUGGUGUAGCGGUGAAAUGCGCAGAUAUCAGGAAGAACACCAAUGGCGAAAGCAGCUCUCUGGGACGGUACUGACGCUGAGACGCGAAAGCGUGGGGAGCGAACAGG
rnacentral:rRNA from 1 species